UUACUAAACUGUGUCUGAGAAACAAAUCCAUAGUUAGCCAAAAUAUACCCGGGGAAGAGAGCACCGCUCUGAGCAUCCUCCAUAAAUAGUGGCGAUUUUGGGCGUUAUUUCAAUGCGAGAUGUGAAGCUCUAGGUUUUCAGGAGGCAAGAAGACCUAAUGAGACCAGCCGCCAUGACAGCCACAGGGGCCCUGGGGGAGACGAGGGGUGGAUAAGAGGCUUCCGAGAACCCCAGAGGCUUUACUCACCCGCAUACCCUCGUCCUCCUGGGGUAUUAAGACCAGGAAGGUGCCGUCAUAGAGCGACAAUGCAGCACGGCAAACAUUUUCGGCUAUGAACUGUGAAAUUACGUACCACACGUCCUCGGCUAACGGAGUAAACCAUUAAUCCACAGCACGACCAAUAAAAUUACACCUGAACUCUGCACCAGGCUGAAGGCAUUACCUCCUCCGAAGAGCAAGUCAGGCUGCAAAGCACGGAAUUAAAUAAAAAAACAAGCCUAAUCAGCAUGCCAUGUGUUUACAGGGUCCACGUUUUGAAUUUAUAACAUCCCAUGACAUCAAAACUUCUUAUCAAAACUGUACGAUUUACUUCCACUCUGACAACAGCUGCAGUCUCGAACCAAGUAUUUCUUUAGGUUCGUUUUGUUUUCGAGUCAACAAAUAAUCAUUUUGUGAAGG